rnacentral:lncRNA from 1 species
UACUAUUUUUAUUGGGUUUCGAAAAAUAAAAUAUAAGUCUAUAAUGACUUUUGUUGAAAUCGGAAUGAAAACAGAAGAUUUAUAAUUUUCUGUUGAAAACGGGGCGGAUAAAUUAGCAGAAAAUGCAUAGUGUCAGAAAAUUAUGAAAAUUGGAGGAUAAGUCAGAAAUAUUUUUAUGAGGCUAGAUUUAAAGUUUCAUAUUUUUCUGACACCCGAAAGUUGAGAAAUAAAAUCCGAAAUCUAUCUGAUAAAGAUUAUAGUUUGGUAUAGUUUUCGGUGACCAAACGGGGUCGAAACUGAAAACUUAAAGUAUAUUCUUGUUCAGUACAUUAAACCGAAUAUGACUGUCAAAUUUGAGCUCAAACGGAUACUCUGGGAGCUCCGGCGAAAGAUAUCAGAUUUUAAGUUGCCUGGAGUGAAUAGUGUUUUUGGA